GUUGAACGCUGGCGGCAUGCUUUACACAUGCAAGUCGAACGGUAACAGGCCGCAAGGUGCUGACGAGUGGCGAACGGGUGAGUAAUGCAUCGGAACGUGCCCAGUCGUGGGGGAUAACUAUCCGAAAGGAUAGCUAAUACCGCAUACGAUCUGCGGAUGAAAGCGGGGGACCUUCGGGCCUCGCGCUAUUGGAGCUGCCGAUGUCAGAUUAGGUAGUUGGUGGGGUAAAGGCUCACCAAGCCAACGAUCUGUGGCUGGGCUGAGAGGACGACCAGCCACACUGGGACUGGGACACGGCCCAGACUCCUACGGGAGGCAGCAGUGGGGAAUAUUGCACAAUGGGCGCAAGCCUGAUCCAGCAAUGCCGCGUGCAGGAAGAAGGCCUUCGGGUUGUAAACUGCUUUUGUACGGAACGAAAAGGUCUGGGUUAAUACCCUGGGCCGAUGACGGUACCGUAAGAAUAAGCACCGGCUAACUACGUGCCAGCAGCCGCCGUAA
rnacentral:rRNA from 1 species